rnacentral:rRNA from 1 species
AGUGAACGCUGGCGGCGUGCCAAAUACAUGCAAGUCGAACGAAGUGGCGCACGGGUGAGUAAUAUAUAGUUAAUCUGCACUACACAGAGGAACAACAGUUGGACACGACUGCUAAUACCUCAUAGUGUAGGAUGAGACUAUAUCGUAUCAGCUCGUUGGUAAGGUAAUGGCUUACCACGGCUAGGACGCUUAACUGGUCUGAGAGGAUUAUCAGUCACAUUGGAACGGAGACACGUCCCAAACGCCUACGGGAGGCAGCAGUAAGGAAUAUUGCGCAAUGGGGGAAACCCUGACGCAGCAACGCCGCGUGGAGGAUGACACUUUUCGGAGCUUAAACUCCUUUUAUCAGGAAAGCGGUACCUGAUGAAUAAGCACCGGCUAACGCCGUGCCAGCAGCCGCGGUAAUUC